UACGUAGGGUGCGAGCGUUGUCCGGAAUUAUUGGGCGUAAAGAGCUCGUAGGCGGUGUGUCACGUCGUUCGUGAAAACCUGCAGCUUAACUGUGGGCGUGCGGUCGAUACGGGCAUCACUGGAGUUCGGCAGGGAAGACUGGAAUUCCUGGUGUAGCAGUGAAAUGCGUAGAGAUCGUAAGGAAGACCAGUGGCGAAGGCGAGUUUCUGGACAGUAACUGACGCUGAGGCACGAAGGCCAGGGGAGCAAACGGG
rnacentral:rRNA from 1 species